GUUAACUUUGUAGUUUUACUGCUUUAUAGGCUGUGCUUUUGCUGGAGGUUUAGGGGUGCUCUUGAUCGAGUGUCUCUGGAUGCCAGCAGGUUUACUUUGAAAAAAUUAGAGUGCUCAAAGCAGGCUAAAAUGCCUGAAUAUUCGUGCAUGGAAUAAUAGAAUAGGAUGUCGAGUCCUAUUUUGUUGGUUUUCGGGACUCGACAUAAUGAUAAAUAGGGACAGUCGGGGGCAUUUGUAUUCAAACGACAGAGGUGAAAUUCUUGAGCCGUUUGAAGACAAACUACUGCGAAAGCAUUUGCCAAGAAUGUUUUAAUUAAUCAAGAACGAAAGUUAGAGGUUCGAAGGCGAUUAGAU
rnacentral:rRNA from 1 species